AUGAACGCUGGCGGCGUGGAUAAGGCAUGCAAGUCGAGUGGGUUUAGACCCACGGCAGACGAGGUAGGAACACGUAGGUAUCUACCCUCAAGUCGGAGAUAACCCAUCGAAAGGUGGAGUAAUAUUCGAUAGUCCCUCCGGGGUAAAGUCGUAAGACGCUUGAGGAAGAGCCUGCGGGCUAUCAGCUAGUUGGUAAGGUAAUGGCUUACCAAGGCGAUGACGGCUAGGGGAGCUGAGAGGCUGACCCCCACCGAUGGAACUGAGACACGGUCCAUACUCCUACGGGAGGCCGCAGUCGAGAAUCUUCCGCAAUGGGCGAAAGCCUGACGGAGCGACGCCGCGUGAUGGAUGAAGCACUUCGGUGCGUAAACAUCUUUUGUAGGGGAAGAAGCCAGCAAUGGUUUGACUGUACCCUAAGAAUAAGGGGUUGCUAAACUCGUGCCAGCAGCAGCGGUAAUACGAGUGCCCCAAGCGUUAUCCGGAAUCACUGGGCGUAAAGGGUGUGUAGGUGGUUUGGUUAGUCUGUCGUUAAAACUCCCGGCUUAACCGGGAAGGUGCGAUGGAAACGGCCAAACUCGAGAGGGUGAGAGGCAUAUGGAACUCAUGGUGUAGGGGUGAAAUCCGUUGAUAUCAUGGGGAACGCCAAAGGUGAAGACAGUAUGCUAGCACCUAUCUGACACUGAAACACGAAAGCGUGGGGAUCGAAAAGGAUUAGAUACCCUUGUAGUCCACGCCCUAAACGAUGAUCACUGGCUUUUCGGAGUAUCGACCCUCUGAGAGGCGAAGCUAACGCGUUAAGUGAUCCGCCUGGGAAGUACGAUCGCAAGAUUAAAACUCAAAGGAAUAGACGGGGACUUGCACAAGCGGUGGAUUAUGCGGUUUAAUUCGAUGAUAAACGAAAAACCUCACCAGGGUUAGAAAUUCAAACGAAGACUAGAGGAAACUUUAGUCGUCUCACAAGGACGUUUGGACAGGUGAUGCAUGGUUGUCGUCAGUUCGUGGUUUGAGCUGUUCCCUUAAGUGGGGUAACGAACGCAACCCUUGUCGUGUGUUAUAUAUGUCACACGAGACUGUCCCGUUUAUCGGGAAGGAAGCGAGGAUGACGCCAAAUCAGCAUGUCCCUCUGAUACCCUGGGCUACACGCAUAAUACAAUGGCCAUUACAGAAGGCGAAGCCGAGAGGCUGAGGUAAUCCUUAAAGAUGGCCCUAGUUCGGAUUGAAGUCUGCAACUCGACUUCAUGAAGCUGGAAUCGCUAGUAAUCGCGGGUCAGCCAUACCGCGGUGAAUACGUUCUCAAGUCUUGUACUCACCGCCCGUCAAGGCAAGGGAGCCGGUAGUGCCCAAAGUCCCAUUUCGGUGGGCCUAAGGCAAGAUCGGUGACAGGGCUU
rnacentral:rRNA from 1 species